rnacentral:lncRNA from 1 species
UUUUUUUUUUUUUUUUUUCCAAUUCUUGUUAAUGUGGGUUUUGGCAUUGUCUGAUGACCCUAACUUUUCAUCUUUUUACCAUGGUAAUCUGCCAGUUGACUCUUUAUUUUCAAAUCAUCUAGUUCAUUUCCUUUUCUAUGCGUUUUCUCCUCUGACUCAAAGAUCAAGUGCUUUCAGCUGUCUAGUAUAUUUAUUCAUUACUACAACUGCAUUAUUUUCCUAAACCGCAGCUUCUUUCUGAGACUUGAGAUCUUAUCUGAUUUGCUCACUGCCUCAGUAGGUAGGGGCUGGGGCAGGAGCAGUUAGGGGCAGAAAGAGACCACAGCCUUCUAUUUACUGCAGCCUCCCCAUGCCCCUCCAAACAAUCUGUACUGCCACCUCUUUCUCUUCUUCUAACUCCUAUCUUCCAUCUCUUUCUUCACCUCAAUGCGUACAUCUCUGAUCAUGACAUCUGUUUUUUUUUUUUUUUUUACAACUUAAAUUUAAACCAAGAAGAUCUUGGUUUAUAGAUUUGUAGCAGAGCUACUUAACAACCUUUCCAUAUUCUUAUUGCUCUGGACUUUAUACCCUCUUCACUGCUUUCUCUCUCCAGAUCUUGUCCCUGGCUGCUAACUCUGAUUUUUCCCAAACCAGCUCUGCUCUGACUUAUGCAGUUUCCCACCAUCAAGCCACCAGCAAUGACCCCUGAUAAGUGUGCUGACCCAUAGCCAAGUGCAUUCUGUCUCCAAGUCUCUCUAAUUCCCAAAUGGCCUGAUGACACAGUUACAUUAGAUUAUGUUGGAUAAGUUCUAUCACUGCUGAAUCUGCUUCCUUAACUUGUGUUCACCUACAAUUUUAACUUACUAUUGCUUGCAUUGUUUUUAAGUCUUCAAAAGUCCUCAGUCUACUUGAACACAGCUUCUCUUGUGACACUUUUCCUCUUCUGGUCUAAGUUUCUUUUUGGUGAGCUCUUGGGGUCCUAAUAAGAGAAUUUCUGCAGUCCAGAGAAGGAGGAGGGAACAUCUGGUACCAAAGUACCAAAUGUGUUCAUGAGUGUGUGUGUGUGUGUGUGUAUGUGUGUGUGUGUGUAUGAGAGAGAGAGAGAGAGAGACAGAGAGAGAGAGAAGAGAGAGACAGAGGAAAAGAGAUUGGUCUUCCCUUUUUACUUUUUGUAGCUUUCUUCUUUCUACCGCUUCUUGUGUUUUGGGAAAGGUGGGUUUCCUCCCUUCAAUUCCGUAUGUCUCCUUGCUCAAAAAUCAUGCUGACAGGAGGUCAUGGCUCCUGAUACAGUAAACCUCAGGAUGGUCUUUGCCCAUGCAAGAGGUUUGGCUGGCAAUUCACGUUAAUUUCUUCUCCCUUCUGACUUGAAAAACUCAAGUUGUCUGUGAAAAUGAAAAAACUUUAGUGUACAUAUCUCACCCAACAAGGCUUUAUAAAGCUGCUUCUUAAGGCAGCUCUAUAUUCUUUUUUUUUUUUCUUUUUGACAGAGUCUUGCUCUGUUACUCAGGCUGGAGUGCAGUGGCACAAUCUCGGCUCACUGCAACAACCUCUGCCUCCCAGGCUCAAGCAAUUCUCAUGCCUCAGCUCCCGAGGAGCUGGGAUUAUGGGUGUGUGCCACCACACCCAGCGAAUUUUUUGUAUUUUUAGUAGAGACAGGGAUUCACCAUGUUAGCCAGGUUCGCCUUGAACUCCUGGCCUCAAGUUAAUCCUCCCGCCUCAGCCUCCCAAAGUGCUGGGAUUAUAGGUGUGAGCCACAAUGCCUGGCCAGACAGCUGUAUAUUCUAAACAUUAAAGCCACCAUUAGGAUAGAACUAAUUUAGAACAAUGUUAUAUAGUGACUUUCUCAUACAGGGAAUGCAACAGCCAGUUUUGUUAUACCAGGACAUUUUUUAUACAGGGGAAAAAUCAGGCUUGUGUGUGUAUGUGAAUAUAGAAUUUAUUUUGUCUUAAAAUCUGAGCCCCCGUUUAAAGUUUUUUAAGGGACUAACCAACUUUUGCUCUUCACUCUUAAUGCUUUUUCUUUUGGAGCCCCUUUCAUGGAACCCUGCAGCACUAAACACUUUUAUAUUUGUAAUAUAUUUAAAAGAUAAAAA